GAUGAACGCUGGCGGCGUGCUUAACACAUGCAAGUCGAACGAGAAAUGGAGACGGAAACCUUCGGGCGGAAGGCUUCAUUUCGAGUGGCGGACGGGUGAGUAACGCGUGGGUAACCUGCCUCAUACAGGGGGAUAACAGUUGGAAACGACUGUUAAUACCGCAUAAGACCACAGCACCGCAUGGUGCGGGGGUAAAAACUCCGGUGGUAUGAGAUGGACCCGCGUUCGAUUAGCCAGUUGGCGGGGUAACGGCCCACCAAAGCGACGAUCGAUAGCCGAUCUGAGAGGAUGACCGGCCACAGUGGGACUGAGACACGGCCCAAACUCCUACGGGAGGCAGCAGUGGGGAAUAUUGCACAAUGGGGGAAACCCUGAUGCAGCGACGCCGCGUGAGUGAAGAAGUACUUCGGUAUGUAAAGCUCUAUCAGCAGGGAAGAAAAUGACGGUACCUGAGUAAGAAGCCCCGGCUAACUACGUG
rnacentral:rRNA from 1 species